rnacentral:rRNA from 1 species
UGCGCAGGCGGUUGAGUAAGACAGAUGUGAAAUCCCCGAGCUUAACUCGGGAAUGGCAUAUGUGACUGCUCGACUAGAGUGUGUCAGAGGGAGGUGGAAUUCCACGUGUAGCAGUGAAAUGCGUAGAUAUGUGGAAGAACACCGAUGGCGAAGGCAGCCUCCUGGGACAUAACUGAGCUCAGGCACGAAGCUGGGAGCAAACA